GCGGCGCGUCGCUCAGCGUGUCCGCGGGCCGCGAGCAGGGCGGCCGGCUCCGGCGGCUGUUGGGUUCUGCCUCUCCUUGUGCGCUUGGGGCUGAAAACGGCCCCGGCCAAAGGAAGGUGGCGAGAGGAGCGAGCGGGCAGCGGCUCGGGCCCGAAUCAGCCAAUAGUCCCGUCGCCUGACCAAUCCACGGGCCUUAAAGGGGACCUUGGUCUGGCUGAAGUUGGUGCAGUAACAGAUGAGCUCUGAGGAAAACCGCCAAACCUUUCAGGCCGCAAACCUCCAACUGAAAUGCCUUUUAUUAAAUACCUGAUAGCCUGAACCAUAUAGGCCUGACUUUGGGAGCCACCUGCACCACUACCUCCUGAAAUGAGAAACAACUCUUUAAUGUAAGUGACAUAUUCUCAGGAUUGAGACUAGUUCAGUAAGAUAUGGGUCCAUCUACCAACUCAGCUUCUGGGGAAGCUUCAAAGGCAGCAAUGAAGGGUAACAGAAUACGCACCCCAAAAUAUGCCUCUUUGGCAUAAGGACUGUUUUGAGCUGAUUGUUUAAACAAACAGCAGACACAAGAGAAGCUCUGAAAAUGUAGUAGAAAUUACCCUUGUGAAAGGGAAAUUCAGAUUUAUAAAGGAAAUCUCCGUCCGUUAGGGUGUCUCCCUCUCUGCACCAGGCAUAGAAAGAUGAGUGAACCACAUGAAAUCUUAUCACUGAGAAGGCACUGAUUUAAAUCUGCAAAACAAACAUUACCCUUUUUACCAGGAGUUUCCUGGUAACCUCCUAUAACUGGCCUCUCCCCACCCCCAACUCAACAUUUUUCUUUUGUCUUUACUGAAGACUGUGUAAGAUAGUAGCUUGGGCCUUCUCAGGGAAUAACUCAUUCUUCCUGGGUAUCGCCCAUAUAUACAUGUUAAUAAAUUUCUGUUUUUCUCUUG